GCAGCACCCGCGCCGGUGCCCAGCUGCAGGGACGCGGGCGACGAGUGCGAGCGGACAUGCUGGGCACCCCCAGCCAGUCGAGGCCCCGGGUGGCCGCCCGACGAGUCGGUGCUGGACUGGCGCGAGUGCGAGCCCGAAUCAGGCUCCUUAAAGAAAGACUCCGGCAGGAUCUUCUUCCGCCACGAGCUAGGCUUCGGAUUCAUGACAGAGUUGAAGAGGGCUUCGAGGUCUGUGUCUAGGUCCUGCGUGACGUGGAUCACUUGCUGCCCAGGCGGCGGGAGCGGAGGGGGCGCCGAGGCCGGAUUCAUCUUCUGCAAAAAGAAGGACAGGCAGCCCCCCGAAAGAAGUUCAGCCCGAGCCAACUCCACCACGUCUCGACUCCGGAAGCCCGAGGAGCCUGGAGCCCUGGAGUGGUGCCGGAUGAGCGCGCGAGCUCCAGCGGGCACUACCUGGGCGGGCAGCGAAGCUGAGCCUGAGCGCGCGGCGGCCGCCGUCCCGCCCGAACUUGCCGUCGGGCCUGGGUCGCUCGGGUGAGUCCCGAGAUUGCGGAGCUGGAGCCGAGGCUUGGCUGACAAAUCCCGACCCGACUCUGUGCCUGGC
rnacentral:lncRNA from 1 species